rnacentral:rRNA from 1 species
CCUACGGGAGGCAGCAGUGAGGAAUAUUGGUCAAUGGACGAGAGUCUGAACCAGCCAAGUAGCGUGAAGGAUGACUGCCCUAUGGGUUGUAAACUUCUUUUAUAUGGGAAUAAAAUGUUCCACGUGUGGGAUUUUGUAUGUAGCAUAUGAAUAAGGAGCGGCUAACUCCGUGACAGCAGCCGCGGUAAUACGGAGGAUCCGAGCGUUAGCCGGAUUUAUUGGGGUUAAAGGGAGCGUAGGUGGAUUGUUAAGUCAGUUGUGAAAGUUUGGGGCUCAACCGUAAAAUUGCAGUUGAAACUGGCAGUCUAGAGGACAGGAGAGGUGGGCGGAAUUCGUGGUGUAGCGGUGAAAUGCUUAGAUAUCACGAAGAACUCCGAUUGCGAAGGCAGCUCACUGGACUGCAACUGACACUGAGGCUCGAAAGUGUGGGUAUCAAACAGGAUUAGAUACCCGGGUAGUC